rnacentral:rRNA from 1 species
UACGGAGGGUGCAAGCGUUAUCCGGAUUUACUGGGCUUAAAGGGUGUGUAGGCGGACAUUUAAGUCAGGGGUGAAAUCCCGAGGCUCAACCUCGGAACUGCCUUUGAUACUACUUGUCUUGAAUGUUGUUGAGGUGGGCGGAACGGGUCAUGUAGCGGUGAAAUGCAUAGAUAUGACCCGGAACACCGAUUGCGAAGGCAGCCCGCUAAGCAACUAUUGACGCUGAGGCACGAAAGCGUGGGGAUCAAACAGG